rnacentral:rRNA from 1 species
AGUGGCGCACGGGUGAGUAACGCGUGGGAAUCGGCCUAUCAGUGGGGAAUAACGACGGGAAACUGUCGCUAAUACCGCAUACGCCCUUCGGGGGAAAGAUUUAUCGCUGAUAGAUGAGCCCGCGUCCGAUUAGCUAGUUGGUGAGGUAAUGGCUCACCAAGGCUACGAUCGGUAGCUGGUCUGAGAGGAUGAUCAGCCACACUGGGACUGAGACACGGCCCAGACUCCUACGGGAAGCAGCAGUGGGGAAUAUUGGACAAUGGGCGAAAGCCUGAUCCAGCAAUGCCGCGUGAGUGAUGAAGGCCUUAGGGUUGUAAAGCUCUUUCGGGUGGGACGAUGAUGACGGUACCACCAGAAGAAGCCCCGGCUAACUUCGUGCCAGCAGCCGCGGUAAUACGAAGGGGGCUAGCGUUGUUCGGAAUUACUGGGCGUAAAGCGCACGCAGGCGGCGCGUUAAAUUAGAAGUGAAAGCCCCGGGCUUAACCUGGGAAUUGCUUUUAA